CCGCCGCCGCGGACGGUGUCGUUACGCGAGCGGCCGACUUUUCGCAGCGUACUUGUGACCGAAAUUUUUAUUUUCUUUUGCGGCGGAGUAGAGAACGUGUCUCGUUCGACCACUACCACGGUCGUACUACGAUCUCCGUCGCAUAACCGUCAUACAGAAACCCAUAAUAGGACCAUUUUUCGUGAAGAUCUGAAGCGUAGUUUAUUUCAUCACAUUCAUUAGUUUUAAAUAUGGCCGACGGGGUGUGUGUUUCAGCAUCCAAUACGCCUCUCUGCUCGAAAACGUCGGUGGAUCGAUUGUCGUCGUCGUCGACCGCGUUCGACGUAUAGACACACGACAUAAUAUAAGUUUUGUUCGUCUCGACUUUGCAGGUACCAAAGUCUUGGAGGAUUACCGGACGGGGAAGUGUCGACGUAACGAGUAGACGAAUUUGGCGACGAACGCGAGAUUACCGCGGUCUUCCUCCUCGAGUUCGACAAACGAAACGAGAACUGCCAUAUGAGUGAUUAACCGCAUAAUCUUCGCGAUGAAUGUGUACGUCGUCGUCGUCGUCGUCGUGAAAAGCCGCCAAAACUAUUUAAGCUGAGAUUCGAAACAAAUAACAGCGGUUUUAAUAUGCUCGCGUACACGAACAAGUCGGCAGCGAGAAGACCGAGCCGAGGUCACGAACGACGUGAGUAACGGUAGCGGAACGUGCCACAACGGGAGUUUUGAAAAAUACAAUUUGGUUAUUAGAUACCGACCGUACAUCGAUGGGAAACGACAAUUUAUAAUAAUUUUAUUUCUGAAAAAUAAUAUUAUUAUUUUUUCCACACAAAUAACAUUUAUAGAAAACGAUAACACGAUCGUUCGAUCUGAACGCUGUUUAUUCUAAUGUGUCACCGACAACGGUCAGCUUACAGAGGAUUUAAACGCACUUCGGAUAAAAAUCGGAUAUUUUAUCGAUGCACUUAUUUGUGAUUCGUUUAACUCUACCCUCAUAGUUCUCGGCGUCCACGAAAAAUCGAAACGGAUACCUGCACUUAGUGUUUUGUUUUGUUUUUUUGUGUAUGUCUCGUCAUUGCUCUGUACGGUUGUACUUAUGUUGCGACCGACUGCAUACAGCCGACGAUCGCCUAAAGACUGCAUCAGUAUAAAUUAUGACGUGGAUAAUAGCGCAUCGAUUAUAAAUAAUUAUGGAGCGUUUCGACAAAGAUCUUUUUGACGGACGGAAGGUCAACGUUUACGAUAUUUCUUCGUCCCGAAGAGCAAACAAAACGGGUUUCCUGGAACGGUUUGACCUCAUCCGAAUGUCACGCAAUUAUUCGUGUAUUUUAAACGGCGACGACCGGUCCUCGCACGACGUUAUCGCCUCGUGUUUUUCUUCUUCAUACGACUUCUCUAUAACGGGUUAUAAAAAUACUCCUAACUACGGUCUGCGAGACCAGUUUUCAUUGGCUGGCUAACUACAGUAAAAAUCAAAAAACACAAAAUCAUGUAAAUCACAGCAUAUUGCAUUGAUCAAAUUGUUAUCAGAUUUUCAUGUGUAACAAACAGCAAUGUGGUUAAUUUAUAAUCAGAACCACUGCGGCAGCAUCGGUGUAAAAGUUCAAAACAAAACCAUAAAAUGUUUUAUGAUACAGUAUAUUAUAAUGUAAUGAAAUGAACUAUAAUAUAUCUACUGCAGCCCAGCACAUU